GACGAACGCUGGCGGCGUGCUUAACACAUGCCAGUCGAACGGAAAGGCCCUGCUUUUGUGGGGUGCUCGAGUGGCGAACGGGUGAGUAACACGUGAGUAACCUGCCCUUGACUUUGGGAUAACUUCAGGAAACUGGGGCUAAUACCGGAUAGGAGCUCCUGCUGCAUGGUGGGGGUUGGAAAGUUUCGGCGGUUGGGGAUGGACUCGGGGGUUAUCAGCUUGUUGGUGGGGUAGUGGCUUACCAAGGCUUUGACGGGUAGCCGGCCUGAGAGGGUGACCGGCGACAUUGGGACUGAGAUACGGCCCAGACGCCAACGGGAGGCAGCAGUGGGGAGUAUGGCACAAUGGGCGGAAGCGUGAGGCAGCAACGCCGCGUGCGUGAUGACGGCCUUCGGGUGGUAAACCGCUUUAGGCUGUGACGAAGCGUGAGUGACGGUAAUGGGUAAAGAAGCACCGGCUAACUACGUG
rnacentral:rRNA from 1 species